UACGUAGGGUGCAAGCGUUAAUCGGAAUUACUGGGCGUAAAGCGUACGCAGGCGGCUUUGCAAGACAGGUGUGAAAUCCCCGGGCCUAACCUGGGAACUGCAUUUGUGACUGCAUAGCUAGAGUUUGGCAGAGGGGGGUGGAAUUCCACGUGUAGCAGUGAAAUGCGUAGAUAUGUGGAGGAACACCGAUGGCGAAGGCAGCCCCCUGGGAUGUGACUGACGCUCAUGUACGAAAGCGUGGGGAGCAAACAGG
rnacentral:rRNA from 1 species